rnacentral:rRNA from 1 species
CCUANGGGAGGCUGCAGUGGGGAAUUUUGGACAAUGGGCGAAAGCCUGAUCCAGCAAUGCCGCGUGCAGGAUGAAGGCCCUUGGGUCGUAAACUGCUUUUUUAGGGGAAGAAUUUGUGACGGUACCCUAAGAAUAAGAGGCUACUAACUCUGUGCCAGCAGUAGCGGUAAUACAGAGGCCUCAAGCGUUAUCCGGAUUCAUUGGGCGUAAAGAGCAUGUAGGCGGAUAUAUUAGUCAGAUGUCAAAUCUUCGAGCUUAACUCGAAAACUGCAUUUGAAACGGUAUAUCUCGAGAGAGUGAGAGAUUAAUGGAACAUAUGGUGUAGCAGUGAAAUGCGUUGAUAUCAUAUGGAACACCAAAGGCGAAGGCAUUUAAUUGGCACUCUUCUGACGCUGAGAUGCGAAAGCGUGGGUAGCGAAUGGGAUUAGAUACCCGGNUANUC